UACAGAGACUGCAAGCGUUAUUCGGAUUCACUGGGCGUAAAGGGUGCGCAGGCGGCCAAGUGUGUCAGGUGUGAAAUCCCGAGGCUUAACCUCGGAACUGCGCCUGAAACUACUUGGCUAGAGUACUGGAGAGGGUAACGGAAUUCACGGUGUAGCGGUGAAAUGCGCAGAUAUCAGGAGGAACACCGAUGGCGAAGGCGGCAUCCUGGACCGACACUGACGCUGAGGAGCGAAAGCCAGGGGAGCAAACGGG
rnacentral:rRNA from 1 species